GCGGUAUGGAGUGUGUAUGGGGGGAAGGGACGUCACGCUCCUGACUUUCUGCUUCCCGUCUUCCUUUCUUCCCGGCUGGAGCCGUGGCGCGCUCCCCCAGGUUUCUAGGAAGCUCCCCCAAGCCAGUGGAAGGCUGAAUGAAGGGCACAGGAAAGACCACCAACUCUCCGAUAUUGAGUCUUUCUAGAUCUGGACGGUGAAUUGGAAUUGCAGGUAAAUAGUAUUCAUUUAACGGAUACUCACUGAGCUCCAUUUGUGUGCCCAGCACUGUUGUACAUCCUGAGCAGGCAGCUCUGGACAGGGCAGGCACCAUUCCUGCCCUCACAGAGUCCAGUGGGACCCACCCUAACCUGAAGUGAAGCCAAGUGAAAAACUCACCUAUGUGACCCUGAAAUUUGCAGUCCUCCUUGACCUCCACAACUGAAGGGAGAGCUUAAACCAGGAUGGAAAAUAAGCACGACUCUUGGGUUUUAUUAAGUAAUUUCUCUGUCUCUCUCAUCUUCUUCCUCUUGCCCUCCCCAUUCCCCCACCACGAGCGGUUGUGAUUCAUGUGCUAAACCUGGAGGACAGUACUCCACGCUGACCAGGAAGCGGCCUGAAAAGCCAUCUCUGGCACCAUAGUCUUCCAAAUACUUAGCCUCCUCUGAGUGAGAGUGUAGAGGAGGAAAUACCAUUGGAGUUAGCUUCCUGUGCAAACACAGGGCUCAGAAUAACGUUGUUUGUGAAACAGAGCAGUAUAUAUAGUCUGAUCUGAAGUGGAUCAGGGCCUGUGUCUACAGGAUGGAUUUAUCCUAAGAAAUAACAUCAAGGUCAGUCAGAGUUGCUGUGAAGUAAAUUACUGCCUCCAUCACUCCUCCCUGAUCUGAACCAGUUGUUCAGUGGUGGGAUGAGGUGUUUUUCCACAGUGGCAGUGAUGGCGCCAAGCCCAGGAGAUGAUUCCAGGGGCCUUUAGACGUAGCAUGGGCUCAUCCUCCCACGACUAGCACCAUGGGUCUCCUAAAGCCUGUUUGCAUGUGAUGUGUGGGUUCCUGAUAAACAGAUA
rnacentral:lncRNA from 1 species